rnacentral:precursor_RNA from 1 species
GUGCAUUGUAGUUGCAUUGCACUGGUUUACAUGAGUUGUGCAAUAUUACUACAAAGCAAAU